rnacentral:rRNA from 1 species
UACGACGGGGGCUAGCGUUGCUCGGAAUCACUGGGCGUAAAGGGUGCGUAGGCGGGUCUUUAAGUCAGGGGUGAAAUCCUGGAGCUCAACUCCAGAACUGCCUUUGAUACUGAGGAUCUUGAGUUCGGGAGAGGUGAGUGGAACUGCGAGUGUAGAGGUGAAAUUCGUAGAUAUUCGCAAGAACACCAGUGGCGAAGGCGGCUCACUGGCCCGAUACUGACGCUGAGGCACGAAAGCGUGGGGAGCAAACAGG